GGGUCUUGGGAUAUUUGGAGGUAAGCGUCCUUAAGUUUGAAUAAUACUGAGCUAGGUGACUUCCCGGGAAGUCCAAACUCAAGAGCUU
rnacentral:rRNA from 1 species